UACAGAGGUCUCGAGCGUUGUUCGGAUUCAUUGGGCGUAAAGGGUGCGUAGGUGGCGCUGUAAGUCGGGUGUGAAAUCCUGAGGCUUAACCUCGGAACUGCAUUCGAUACUGCGGCGCUUGAGGACUGGAGAGGAGACUGGAAUUCAUGGUGUAGCAGUGAAAUGCGUAGAUAUCGGGAGGAAUACCAGUGGCGAAGGCGGCUUCCUGGCCUGUUCUUGACGCUGAGGCGCGAAAGCUGGGGGAGCAAACGGG
rnacentral:rRNA from 1 species